rnacentral:rRNA from 1 species
AGUGAACGCUGGCGGUAGGCCUAACACAUGCAAGUCGAACGGCAGCACAGUAAGAGCUUGCUCUUACGGGUGGCGAGUGGCGGACGGGUGAGGAAUACAUCGGAAUCUACUUUUUCGUGGGGGAUAACGUAGGGAAACUUACGCUAAUACCGCAUACGACCUACGGGUGAAAGCAGGGGAUCUUCGGACCUUGCGCGAUUGAAUGUGCCGAUGUCGGAUUAGCUAGUUGGCGGGGUAAAGGCCCACCAAGGCGACGAUCCGUAGCUGGCCUGAGAGGAUGAUCAGCCACACUGGAACUGAGACACAGUCCAGACUCCUACGGGAGGCAGCAGUGGGGAAUAUUGGACAAUGGGCGCAAGCCUGAUCCAGCCAUACCGCGUGGGUGAAGAAGGCCUUCGGGUUGUAAAGCCCUUUUGUUGGGAAAGAAAAGCAGCAGGUUAAUACCCCGCUGUUCUGACGGUACCCAAAGAAUAAGCACCGGCUAACUUCGUG